GGCAUGUACAACGCACAGCCGAUCCUUGUCUUUUUGCUGCCACAUCAGCACAGGAGUCCUCGGUGUACAUCAAUAAAUGAAGAAAGAGGAUGGAGCCGUCGUCUCGUUCGUCGACGGCACGGGCUCGUGCUCCGGAGCGAGUCGCCACCCCACGCCGCGCGUUGUAUGGUUUUUGCUGCGGGUCGUCGACGGCGCGGCGGAUCCCUUGCGCGUGAGCGGGAUUUUCCCGCACGAUGGCGGCAAAAUCUUCUGCAGCGCGCCAUCUUCCCUCCCCAAAUUUUCCACCUUUGGCUCGUAUUGCAUCUCCCCCACGAGCACCAUGGGAAAGAAAAGGAGCGGGCGGCGGCGGUGGUGCGUGAGCUGCUUGAUGCGGCGGCACAGCGGGAGCGGAAGGCUGGGGCAAGCGCGGAAGGGCUCAUCGUUGGUAGGGGAGGCAAAAGGAAAGGCAGCUGCACAACAACAGAAGGGUGUUUCGCGUGCAGCAGCAGCGCCGGAGAAGAAGGGCACGCCCCGCGGGGCAGCUGUUUCCGGCGGUGGAUUUGGUGGAGCUGCUUCACCCACGUCCUUCACUGGUCGGAGCAACUUCUUUAGCAGCGCAUUCUUCCCCAAUGCUGGGUUUUGAGUCUCAAUUAAAUCCUGCUACCUGAUAACAUAUCAGUCUCAAUUUUACUAGAGAUUGCUCGUAGAAACUAGUGAGUGCAAUCAAUUUUUCCUGGUAACACAUCUUUGUUGAUGCAUGCCGAUUGAGGAGAGUUUUGAGUCUAGUUCAAUUGCAUGGUAUGGUAUGGAGUUCAGAAUACAAAUUAAUUUUGUAGGGAUUGCAGAUGUACUAGAUAUCAAUCACUAUUAACCAUCUUUCCCAAAAUCGAGCUGAAUAUAUAGAGACGCCAACUUGUAGUUCUAUGUUGAUUUAGCUGGGAAAAUUUAGCUAUUCAAUCGGACAGUUCUCACUAUGCUCCAUUCAAGCUAGAUAAUGUUUUCUUUACUAGUGAGAUUCAGUGCAACGAUAUGGUCUGUAGUUACUUUAUCUCUCUGCUUCAGCUAGAUAAUGUUUUCCUUACUAUUAGAAGACAGAUAAGCUCUUGGCUGCGUAUUUCUAUCACAAGACAUAGCACUAAUGUCUGAUGAAGAGAAGGCUGAUCAAGCUGCUACCAUGAAGUAUUUGAAGAAAAAAUUAUUUGUUGAAUCUAAUUAAGGAGCUUCAACUUGCUUUGCAUGAAGCUCUGGAACCUGAACCUGAAGAAUAAACUCUGAAUGGCAACUGUAAUGCUGAUAUGUAAUGGUAUUUGAAUCUGAACCUGAAGCAUAUUUAUCUAGCUUCCUGACUUACAGAUAUGUAAUACUAUUUGAACCAAUGAUCUAUAAUGCUUUAUUUUGUUAGCUUAUUUUGAACCAAUUCUAUGAUGUCACUUUGGACAUCUGUGUGCA